rnacentral:rRNA from 1 species
GACGAACGCUGGCGGCGUGCCUAAUACAUGCAAGUAGAACGCUGAAGGAGGAGCUUGCUCUUCUGGAUGAGUUGCGAACGGGUGAGUAACGCGUAGGUAACCUGCCUGGUAGCGGGGGAUAACUAUUGGAAACGAUAGCUAAUACCGCAUAACAGUAGAUGUUGCAUGACAUUUGCUUAAAAGGUGCAAUUGCACCACUACCAGAUGGACCUGCGUUGUAUUAGCUAGUUGGUGGGGUAACGGCUCACCAAGGCGACGAUACAUAGCCGCCCGGAGAGGGGGGUCGGCCACCCUGGGACUGAGACCCGGCCCAGACUCCUACGGGAGGCAGCAGGAGGGCAUCUUCGGCAAGGGGCGGAAGUCUGACCGCGCAACGCCGCGGGAGUGUAGAAGGUCUUCGGGUCGGAAAGCUCGGUUGUCGGGGAAGAACGAGUGUGAGGGUGGAAAGUUCACACUGUGACGGUAUCUUACCAGAAAGGGCCGGCUAACUACGUG